rnacentral:misc_RNA from 1 species
GUUUGCCGGCGUCAUUGUCAGCUCCUCUUAAAUGCAUUAGCGGAACUUUAUUGAAAGGACCAGCUUUGGUUUGAUAAUCCUAUCUAUGCCGUCGCUGUGGACUUGUUGUUCAGCUUCAAAUGGUCUUCGGACUGUCUCCUUGUGAGGCAUACACUUUUAAACUUGACCUCAAAUCAGGUAGGACUACCCGCUGAACUUAA